CAUCAGUCCGCACAUCAUGUUGUUGUCAUUGCAACUUUGCACCCUGAGUCCGGGCCACAUAUCAGAGACACACCGCUGUACACAAGCUGCCCCAGAUCAGACCAGAUCAGAUCAGAGCUUGUGUGCUCAACACUUAUUUGAUCAGCUCGUGUUGACAGAUCAUAGCUAAUGCUCGUAAAGGAAUGUUUGGAUGAGUAAAUCGGAGCUCAGCGGCCCCUGCGACCCCUUCACUGAGUUUGAUCUGAAGGCAAAUGUCGAUGACUCGCCUCACAACUCUGCUUUUCAGGUUAAGGUGUAGAGGAGAGAAAUCCACUCUUCUGCUGGGAUCAGAAUAAUCCAGGGUUUUUUGUUGUUGUAUUUUUGAUCAAAAGUAUCAUAAUCUUACUAAACAUUUUGAACAACACAAAAUGAGGAUUUAAUCCAGAUCAAAACCAAGAUUUGGAUUUUGUGAUCUAAUCUGAAUUCAGAAUCCUUUUUUUUUCUUUUCUUUUUUUUUGAACAACCCAUUUUCAAGAUUUGAUUCAAUCCAAUGGCCAAAAUCAGCUGGGAUUACUCUUGAACAACUGGCCCGUGAUCAUUCUGAUCCAGUUCUUAUUAUUCAACAAUCUGAAUAUGGAGCCUCACUGAGAUCCCCAUAUCUCUGGGACUGACCCAUGUUAGGCCUUGAAAAUGGAGAUUCCAAAAGAAACGUUUAUUAAGAACUAGAACCUAAAAUAAUAUUGCAAUAUAUUGAAUACUUCUGGAGUUAUAGGCACGCAAACUUUGGAAAAAGAACACUUAUGGCACUCAGACAGGAAUGUUCAGUGUAGUUGUUUGGACAGACGGAAACCAGACACAUUUCUAGUUUCAACAUUAUUUAUUCUUCAAAAAUUCCUCUUUAAAAGAAAAGAAGUAUCAUAUUUUUGCAAAAUGACCCACAUUUGGUUUUUGACCAUUGAAAAUGUGUACAAUUUAACAAUUUACUCCUGGAGCAAUUUUGAAAUUAUCUCUGCAACCGAACCAUAUAGGGCCUUAAAAAUUAAGAUGCCAGAAGGAAAGUGUGUUAAGACCCAAUAUCUAAAAGGGCAUUAAUAUAUCUUUAAUACUUUUUGAGUUGCAGGCAUGCAAACUUUGGAGAAAAAACUUGAAAAGUGUUUGAAUUGUCCCCAUUGGCACAUAAUGCAACAAAGAUUGGUAAAGUCAACAGAUUUUACUAACAGACUUUCUAAUCUCUGUGUAAAAAAAAAAACAUUAUGAUGCUGUCAUCUUUCAAAAAGUCAUUUUUACCCCGCUGUAAUUUGGCUCGGAAUUUCAGGUGAAAAUUGCCAUUUUUUAACCCCCUUCUACAACAUAGAGGUUUACUCAGGAAAUAUUCAUCCAUGACAUUUCAUAUUUUGGCUAUAAUCACUAUACAUGUUUGUCUUGCUUCAGAAAAAAAAAUAUUAGCAAAAUCUAAAAUUUGAGCUGGGGACCUCUGGUUGACAGGGAAUGACCCAUGAACAUUCAGCAAAACACUUAAUCAAUGAUGAUCUGAACACUUUGUUUGUUCAUUUGUUUGUUUUGGCAUGGCUGUCAUUAUAAUAAACUAUGUGAAUGUCACCGGGUUUAGAUCAUAGAGCACAGACAGAUUUAUCUGGCAAUGCUUUUAAACCACUUACAC
ensembl:lncRNA